GAGUUGGAAUUUUGAUGGGGAUAGCACUAGAUCUGUAGAUUGCUUUCUGCACGAUGGGUAUUUUUUACUACAUUAAUCCUGCCAAUCCAUGAACAUGGGAGAUCUUUCCAUCUUCUGUGGCCUUAAAUUUCUUUCUUCAGGGACUUGAAGUUCUUGUCAUACAGAUAUUCCCUUGUUUAGUUAUAGUCACAACAAGAUAUUGUAUAUUUUUUGUGACUACUGUGAAGGGUGUCAUUUCCUGAAUUUCUUUCUCCACCCAUUUAUCCUUUGAAUAUUGGGAGGUUACUGAUUUAUUUGAAUUAUUCUUUUUUCUUUUUCUUUUUAUUAGAUAUUUUCUUUAUUUUCAUAUCAAAUGCUAUCCUGAAAGUUCCCUAUAUCUUUCCCCCACCCUGCUCCCCUACCCACCCACUCCUACUUCUUGGCUAUGGCAUUCCCCUAUACUGGGGCAUAUAAAGUUUGCAAGACCUAAGGGCCUCUCUUCCCAAUGAUGGCUGACUAGGCCAUCUUGUGCUACAUAAGCAGCUAGAGACAUGAGCUCUGGGAGUACUGGUUAGUUCAUAUUGUUCCACCUAUAGGGUUGCAGACCCCUUCAAUUCUUUGGGUACUUUCUCUAGCUCCUCCAUUGGGGGCCCUGUGUUCCAUCUUAUAGAAGACUGUGAGCAUCCACUCCUGUAUUUGCCAGGCACUAGCAUAGCCUCCCACGAGGCAGCUAUAUCAGGGUCUUGUCAGCAAAAUUGAAUUAUUUUAUAUGCAGCCAUUUUGCUGAAGUUGUUUAACAGCUGUAGGAGUUCUGGUGGAAUUUUUUGGGUCACUUAAGUAUACUAUUAUAUUGACUGCAAAUAAUAAUAUUUUAACUUUUCUUUAUAAUUUGUAUCCAUUUGAUCUCCUUUUGUUGUCUAAUUAUUCCAGCUAGAACUUCAAGUACUAUAUUGAAUAGAAAGGGAGAGAGUAAAAGUCUUAUCUGGACCCUGAUUUUAGUAGGAUUGCUUCAAGUUUCUCUGCAUUUAGUUUGAUGUUGGCUACUGGUUUGCUUUUACUCUGUUUAGGUAUGCACCUUGAAUUCCUGAUCUUUCCAAGAUGUUUACCAUUAAGGAAUGUUGAAUUUUGUCAAGUGAUUUUUCAGCAUCUAAUGAGAUGAUCAUGUGUGUUUUUUUUUCCCCUUUGAGUUUGUUUACAUAGUGGAUUAUACUGAUGGAUUACUGUAUAUUGAACUACCCCUGCAUCCCUGGGAUGAAGUAUACUUAAUCAUGGUGAAUGAUCAUUUUGAUGUGUUGUUAGAUUCAGUUUGUGAGAUUUUUGAGAUUUUUAUUGAGUAUUUUGCAUUGAUAUUUAUAAGGGAAAUUGGUCUGAAGUUCUGUUUUUUGGGGGGUGGGGUCUUUAUGUGCUUUUGGUAUCAGAGUAAUUGUGGCUUCACAGAGAAAGUUGGGUAGUGUUACUUCUGUUUUUAUUUUGUGGAAUAGUUUGAAGAUUAUUGGUAUUAGGUCUUCUUUGAAGGUUUGAUAGAAUCUGUACUUAACCCAUCUAGUCCUGGGCUUUUUCUGGUAGAAAGACUUUAACGACUGCUUUUAUUUCUUUAGGGGUUAUGGGACUGUUUAGAUGGGUUAUCUGAUCCUGAUUUACCUUUGGUACCUGUUAUCUGUCUAGAAAAUUAUCCAUUUCAUCCAGACUUUCCAGUUGUGUUAAAUGUAUGCAUUUGUAGUAGGAUCUGAUGAUUUUUUAAAAAUUUCCUCAGUUUCUGUUGUUAUUUCUCCCUUUCAUUCCUGAUUCUAUUAAUUUGAAUACUAACUGUCUGCUCUCUGGUUAGUCUGGCUAAGCAUUUACCUAUCUGGAUGAUGUUCUCAAAGAACCAGCUUUUGGUUUGGUUGAUUCUUUGUAUAGUUCUUUUUGUUUUGAUGGGGUUAAUUUCAGCCCUGAGGUUGAUUAUAUCCUACCAUCUACUUCUCUUGCUUGUGUUUGCUUCUUUUUGUUCUAGAGAUUUCAGGUGUGCUGUUAAGCAGCUUGUGUAAGCUCUCUUCGGUUUCUUUUAGGAGGCACCAUGAGCUAUGAGUUUUCCUCUUAGCCCUGCUUUCAUUGUGUCCUAUAACUUUGGGUAUGCUGUGCCUUCAUUUUCCUUGAAUUCUAAAUUUUUAAAAAUUUCUUUCCUUCUAUUUUCUUCCUUGACCAAGCUAUUUUUGAGUAGGGCAGGGUUCAGCUUCCAUGUGUAUGUGGACCUUCUGUUGUUUUUGUUGGUAUUGAGGAACAGCUUAAAUCCACAGUGAUCUGAUAGGACUCAUGGGAUUAUUUCAAUUGUUCUGUAUAUGUUGAGGCCUGUUUUGUGACCUGAUUAAAUGGUCCAUUUUGGAGAAGGUACCAUGGCUUGAUGAGAAGUUAUAUUCUUUUGUUUUAGGAUGAAAUAUUCUAUAGAUAUCUGUUAAAUCCACUUGGUUCAUAACUUCUCUUAGUUUCACUGUGUCUCUAUUUAGUUUCUGUUUCCAUGAUCUGUCCAUUACUGAGAGUAGGGUGUUGAAGUCUCCCACUAUUACUGUGUGAGAUACAAUGUGUGCUUUGAGCUUUAAUUACUUUUUUUUUAUAAAGGUGGGUACCCUUGCAUUAGGAGCAUAGAUGUUUAGAAUUGAGUGUUUAUGUUGUUAAAAUUUUCCUUUGACAAGUGUGAAGUGACCUUUCUUACCUUUUUUGAUAACUUUCGGUUGAAAGUUGGUUUUACUCAAAUUAAAAUGGCUAUUCCAUCUUGUUUCUUGGGAUCAUUUGCUUCGAAAAAAAUUUUCCAACCUUUUACUCUGAGGUAGUGACUGUCACUGAUUCCUAUAUGCAGCAAAAUGCUGGGUCCUGUAUAGGUAUCCAGUCUGUUAGUCUAUGUAUUUUUAUUGGGUAAUUGAGUCCAUUGAUUUUAAGAAAUAUUAAGAAAUAAUGAUUGUAAGCCGGGCAUGGUGGCACAUGCCUUUAAUCCCAGUACUUGGGAGGCAGAGGCAGGCAGAUUUCUGAGUUUGAGGCCAGCCUGGUCUGCAGAGUGAGUUCUAGGAGAGCCAGGGAUAUACAGAGAAACCCAGUCUCAACCCCCCAUCCCCCCCCC
rnacentral:lncRNA from 1 species